GUUGCUAGAAUCGAUCGAGUCAGACUAAAGCUGCAGGUUGGGAUGGUCAGAACAAUUGCUUAUGUUCGACAUGUUCUAGACCUGAAAAAGAAUCUCAUCUCGUUGAGUACCCUAAAUGCAAAAAAGGUAUAAAUUCUCUUGUGGAAGUGGAGUCUUGAAGGUUUGAAGAGGUGUUCGAGUUGUACUGGAGGGAUGGAAGAAGUCUCAUCUUGCAGGGAAGUGCACAACCAGAUAAGAGAUAUUUGGACAAGUUCAGUACCGUGAUAGAUAUUCAGUUUGGUAUAGUAUCUCUUGUGACGGACUUUCAGUCGAUUCAUAACAUUACUCAAGAAAGCAUUGGUGAUUCCGCUUUACCACCAAUUUCAGCGGACACACUAUGUUCAAUUGCUAGGGUUGGACUCAUGGAGCGUAGGUAAAGUGGUUUCAAUGAUGUCCGUAAUGCUUUCAGGAUCGUUGAAAGUUACGGUUCUAGCGAUGGGCCUUCUGAUUAGGCAUUUGGUAUGGUUUCUGCUAUAAGGUGUACUUCGACCC
rnacentral:lncRNA from 1 species